UGUGGGAUGAUAAAAUAGACGUUGGCACACUAUCUGAAAGAAGAUGACAGUAUUAUGUGGGCAGCCCGCAGAAUUCUUAGUCAUUCAUCUUUCCAGUUCAUUGAAUCGUCGCUAAUUCCACUUAUUCAUCUUAUGAUAAUAUUCUGAUGAUCAACAGGAAAUAAAGAAGAAAAAUCAAAUUCUAUAAGGGCAAGUGCAUAAACGUGUUUGAUACAUUUUCGUAUUUCUUAAAAGAGAAUUAUACAUAUAUUCAAAUGCAUAAAUGCAAAAAUAUUGUCGAAUUUGAAUGUUGAAUAGUUAAGUCGGUUGGUACAAAUGGCAAAGCGAUGGGAGGUGGAAAACGUAGCAUGUUGAUUAGAGGAUAUCUUAAUUACUGAUUGGCUACGCGCACUAAUUAAAUCGUAACUCAAUCAAGCCUAAAGGAAUCUUUUGAAUAAAAAGAGAAAUUAAACAAAUAAAAUAAAACGAUUAAAAA